rnacentral:lncRNA from 1 species
GGAACUCCUGAGUCCAAGAGCUGGGGGAAUGCUGGAAACAAGGAGAAGGAAGGCAGAGAAUGCUUGUGGAGGCAGCAAGGAAUAAAUAGAUGCAAGAAUAUUGGAAGGUGUCAUAAGAGGGAUAAGGAACCAAUCGCACCUCUGUCUCGCCCCAUCCCCUCUCCAGGCUUGGGAGCAGAUCCACACCACUACAGCUAUGAUUUGGAAGGAGCACAGCCAUCACUGAUGUCACAACAGUCCCCGCAAUUCCACAGCACAGUGUUGAUUUCAUUGCACCACAGUGUAGCUCUAGGAGUGAGUAAAAGCUCCCUGAGGCCUCCCAGAAGCUGAGAAAAUGCUGAUACGAUACUUCCUGUACAGCCUGCAGAACUGUAAGCCAAUUAAACGUCUUUUCUUUAUAAAUUA